UGAAAGGUAAUUUAAAUAAAAAUUUCAAAUUGUGGUAUUGAAUAUAAUAUUAGGUAUUUCUUUCAA
rnacentral:tRNA from 1 species